UGGGGAAUUUUGCACAAUGGGGGAAACCCUGAUGCAGCGACGCCGCGUGAUUUAGAAGGCCUUCGGGUUGUAAAACUCUUUUGUAUGGGAAGAAAAUGACAGUACCAUACGAAUAAGGACCGGCUAAUUACGUGCCAGCAGCCGCGGUAAUACGUAAGGUCCGAGCGUUGUCCGGAAUCAUUGGGCGUAAAGGGUACGUAGGCGGAUAAGCAAGUUAGAAGUGAAAUCCUAUAGCUCAACUAUAGUAAGCUUUUAAAACUGCUCAUCUUGAGGUAUGGAAGGGAAAGUGGAAUUCCUAGUGUAGCGGUGAAAUGCGCAGAUAUUAGGAGGAAUACCGGUGGCGAAGGCGACUUUCUGGCCAUAUACUGACGCUGAGGUACGAAAGCGUGGGUAGCAAACAAG
rnacentral:rRNA from 1 species